GACGAACGCUGGCGGCGUGCCUAACACAUGCAAGUCGAACGGAAAGGCCCUGCUGUUGGGGGGGGCUCGAGUGGCGAACGGGCGAGUAACAAGUGAGUAACCUGCCCUCCACAUUGGGAUAACCACAGGAAACUGGGGAUAAUAACGGAUAGGAACUCCCGCUGAAUGGUGGGGGGAGGAUAAAUUGGGCGGUUGGGGAUGGCCUCGCGGCUUAUCAGCUUGUUGGUGGGGUAGUGGCGGCCCAAGGCCUUGACUGGUCGACGGCCUGGGAGGGUGCCCGGCCCCAUUGGGACUGCGGUACGGCCCAGACUCCUACCGGAGGCAGCAGUGGAGAAUAUUACGCAAUGGGCGGGCGCCUGUUGCAGCAGCGCCGCGUGCGUGAUGACGGCCUUCGAGUUGUAAACCGCUUUCGCCUAUGACGACGCGUUAGUGACGGUAAUGGGUCAAGAAGCACCGGCUAACUACGUG
rnacentral:rRNA from 1 species